UGGGGAAUUUUGGACAAUGGGCGAAAGCCUGAUCCAGCAAUGCCGCGUGUGUGAAGAAGGCCUUCGGGUUGUAAAGCACUUUUGUCCGGAAAGAAAUCCUUGGCUCUAAUACAGUCGGGGGAUGACGGUACCGGAAGAAUAAGCACCGGCUAACUACGUGCCAGCAGCCGCGGUAAUACGUAGGGUGCAAGCGUUAAUCGGAAUUACUGGGCGUAAAGCGUGCGCAGGCGGUUUGCUAAGGCCGAUGUGAAAUCCCCGGGCUCAACCUGGGAACUGCAUUGGUGACUGGCAGGCUAGAGUAUGGCAGAGGGGGUAGAAUUCCACGUGUAGCAGUGAAAUGCGUAGAGAUGUGGAGGAAUACCGAUGGCGAAGGCAGCCCCCUGGGCCAAUACUGACGCUCAUGCACGAAAGCGUGGGGAGCAAACAGGAUUAGAUACCCUGGUAGUCCACGCCCUAAACGAUGUCAACUAGUUGUUGGGGAUUCAUUUCCUUAGUAACGUAGCUAACGCGUGAAGUUGACCGCCUGGGGAGUACGGUCGCAAGAUUAAAACUCAAAGGAAUUGACGGGGUCAUAGCUGUUUCCU
rnacentral:rRNA from 1 species